UACGGGGGGAGCAAGCGUUGUUCGGAUUUACUGGGCGUAAAGGGCGCGUAGGCGGCGUGACAAGUCACUUGUGAAAUCUCCGGGCUUAACUCGGAACGGUCAAGUGAUACUGUCGUGCUAGAGUACAGAAGGGGCAACUGGAAUUCUCGGUGUAGCGGUGAAAUGCGUAGAUAUCGAGAGGAACACCGGUGGCGAAGGCGGUUCUCUGGGAAUGUCCUGACGCUGAGGAGCGAAAGUGUGGGGAGCGAACAGG
rnacentral:rRNA from 1 species